rnacentral:rRNA from 1 species
AGUACGUGAAACUGCUUAGAGGUUAAACCCGAUGAACCUGAAUAUCCAUUAUGGAAAAUUCAUCACUAAUAAUAUAGUAUUUAUAAUAUUGUAUGAAUGGUGUGCAAUUUUUCCAUAUAAGGACAUUGUAAUCUGUUAAUGUAAUAAAUAUUUAUCAUAAGAUCCAUUACUUAAGUUUAUUCAAAUUGGUUAUUUUCGGAUUUCUAACAUAGAAUAAAUGUUUUGGAUUUGAUAAAUCAUUGACAGAUAUAAUUAUAUAAUGUGCUUAAAUUUUUCGGAAUUUUAUCAAUGGUAGAUAAAUCUAUGAUUUGUUUAUUUAAUUGUAUGCACUAUUAUGAUUAACAAUGCGAUAGAUUCAGGAUACCUUCGGGACCCGUCUUGAAACACGGACCAAGGAGUCUAACAUAUGUGCAAGUCAUUGGGUAUUUUUAAUAAAACCCAAUGGCAUAAUUAACUUAACUGUUAUUUAUAAUGGGAUUAGUUUAUAUUUUGUUAUGAAAUAUUUAUUCAAUCCCGGGGCGUUCUAUAUAGUUAUGUAUAAUGAUAUUUAUAUUAUUUAUGCCUCUAACUCGAGCGUACCUUGAGC